AGUGAACGCUGGCGGCGUGCCUAAUACAUGCAAGUCGAACGGAGAUUAAGUAGCUUGCUAUUUAAUCUUAGUGGCGCGCGGGUGAGUAAUAUAUAGCUAACUUGCCCAUUACUAAGGGACAACAGUUGGAAACGACUGCUAAUACCUUAUACUCCGUGUCUAUAUAAGUAGGUACGGGAAAGUUUUUCGGUAAUGGAUAGGGCUAUAUCGUAUCAGCUAGUUGGUAAGGUAAUGGCUUACCAAGGCUAUGACGCGUAACUGGUCUGAGAGGAUGAUCAGUCACACUGGAACUGAGACACGGUCCAGACUCCUACGGGAGGCAGCAGUAGGGAAUAUUGCUCAAUGGGGGAAACCCUGAAGCAGCAACGCCGCGUGGAGGAUGACACUUUUCGGAGCGUAAACUCCUUUUCUUGGGAAAGAAUUAUGACGGUACCCAAGGAAUAAGCACCGGCUAACUCCGUGCCAGCCGCCGCCGUAACAC
rnacentral:rRNA from 1 species